rnacentral:lncRNA from 11 species
AUGGGAAAAGGGAUGAGUAGGAAGAAGAAGCAACCAGGAUCCGGUCCGGAGGUUAUUUACACAUCAAUGGCAGAGCAAUGGCAGAGUGGAAACCAAAUUCGCCAAGCUACGGAAGAGCCCAAACAUGAUCCUAUUUGGAGCAGUCGUGGAGGAGUGUGGCCUACAAACUGGAGAAAAGUCUGCCGCGGGAAAGAAGAAGAAAUCCUUCAGCAUAAUGGCCUUUGGAGGAAUGUGGACUGCGGGGGAAUUCCUGAUACUUUUGAACUAAACCAAAACUUCUCAGGGAAGGAGGAGACCUGGACGGACCCCCCGUUUGAAGACCCCAGGGAGAUAUUAAUAGGCGAUUCCAUCCCUCCACUGAAGCCAGAACCGGCCCAAGUUGAGACGAGACAGGAGUGGAGCCAUUCGGACGAUGCUUGGCUUGAACCCAGGGCUCAGGGUGGGACCCAGACCCUCAGCACAGGAACCCAGACGGAAGUGACAUGGACUGACUAUGGAGAGCAGCCUUUGUUCCACUCCGGAAGGGAUUCAGUCUCCAUGCUGGAACGAGCCAAAAGUUCUGAGAAAGUGGUCCAGCAAAGGCUGAAAGAGUUCUUUGCCCUCUUGAGGAUCCUUGUAAACAUCCCCACGUUGUUCCUGCUGGAAUUGGUCCAUUUUCUAGGCAAAUCAGUAUUCCAGGUGCUGGUGGUGGGCUUGCUGACCGCCAUCGGUGACCAGAUGCUGGUACCUGUCCUGUCAGCAAUCUUCGAGCGCAUCCUGCAGCCGUUGCUGAUCUUCCUGCUGAAUGUUCUCCGUAGCAUCCAGACCUUGAGCUGUCCCUUCAUCGACAUAUCGAAGGACCUCUGUUUGCAGGUGGCAGGAGUACUGCGGGCUUUCCGGUUGGUUGAGGUUCACCAACACCACCAUCAUCAUGGAACAUGUCCAGAGAAGGGCCACCAAGAUGAACAAAGGUCUGGAAACUAUGAAUCCCCCUGAGGAGCAGCUGAAAGAACUGGGUCUGUUUUGGUUAUAGUUGAAAGAAGCGGACACAAGAGCCAUGCUUCAAUAUUUGGAAGGAUGUCCCAUUGAGGAGGGUGCUCUGGAGACCAUUACACAAUGGAGCUAUGGAUUCGAAUAGCAGGAAACGAGAUUCCAGGUAGACAUGAGGAAGAACUUCCUGACCAUCAGAGCUGUUCUGCUGCGUGAGAGUUCAAUGAAGUCUCCUUCCAGAGGCUUUUCAAUAGAAGCUGGGUGGCCAUCUGUCAGGAGGGCUUUGAUUGAAGCAGAAGAUGAGUCUCUUCCAACUCCAGGAUUCUACUACAAAGGGAGGAGACCUGUAACACCAUGUAACAAAAUUUGAAAAAUGUUCUGUUUCUGGUUGGAAGUGUUAUUUCCUGUUUAAUUGUGCUGUACUCACUUUGAAAGUAGUUGUUCUACUCUAGCAACUUUGUUAUUGUGGCUGCCACAAACUAGGUUGAAUUGGUUGAGACUCGGUGAGAUAUUUAUUGAAAAAUUAUCACAAAAUGUGCUGCAGGAUGUCCUGCAAAAGCAAAGUUUUUGCAGUUUAAUAAACUUUUCCUAUGUUUUUGUGAUGGACCCAAUUAGGAAAUGUUAUUUAUAACCCAGGAACAAAAAUCAUGUUAAGCAGUGUAAUGUUUAUUGUUAAGUAGAAGCUGGGUGGCCAUCUGUCAGGAGGGUUUUGAUGGUUGUCUUCCUGCCUGAAGGAAGGUUUUAAAGAGAAAAUUUUUGAAGGUCAAUUCAGGCCGUACUGUGGUUUUUAACACUGAACAUGUUUUAAUGCUUUUAAUAGGGAUUUUAAAAAAAUACUGUUUAUAUUUAAUCCUGUUUUAAUGUUUGCAUAUUUGUCUAUUUUAAAUGGUAUGCUGAUACUUUUAUGUUAAGCCACUUUUGAGUUUCCAGGAGAUAAAGUGGGGAAUAAUAAUAUAGAUUGGAUGGUCCUUGUGGUCUCUUCCAAUUCUAGGAUCCUAUGUCCCCCUCCACAUUAUCUGGUAUGAACCGGAUUAUACGAGUCUACACUGCCAUAUAACCCAAUUCAAAGCAGAUAAUCUGGAUUUUAUAUGGCAGUGGAGAAGGGGCCUGAGUCAAUCUCACCAAGUGUGUAUUAUUUAUUUAUUGUGUUUAAAUUUUGCCCUUCUCACUCUGAAGGUGAAUCAGGGCGGAUCACAGAACACACAUAUACGGAAAAUAUUCAAAGCCGUUUAUACAUUGACAAGAUAGGCAAUUGUAUGUAGAUAGAGGUAUAUAUAGGAUUUUCCCCAUCUUCAGCAUCUUGGAGGCUUGUGCUUGGUUCUGGCCACUGGGCAGUGCUGUCACUCCGCCUCCCAGCCGAAGAGCUUUGUUCAUAAACUUCGUCCUUGAUCGAAUCACUGGCAUUUUUCUGGCAUUCCCUUAUGGGUGCCCUAAAAUACCUCCCCUCUUUUAAGUUGGACCUAUUUAUCUACUCACAUUUUGCUUUUGAACUGCUAGGUAGGCAGAAGCUGGGCCAAAGGCCAGGAGCUCACCCUGACCUGGGCUUCCAACUGUCAACCUUUUGAUUGGCAAGAUUUACUGCAGCUGGUAGUUAACCUGCUGUGCUAAAGCCCGGCCCAUUCUACCCAGAUUCUACACUGUGGAAUCAAUUUGAUACCACUUUAAUUCAAUGUGAUGGGAUCCUGGGAGCUGUAGUUUAGUGAGUCCAGAAUUGCAAAAUACCGCUAUAAGGAUAGUAAAUAAGGCCAGGUUUUGGCAUGGAUAUUGCUCAGGCUGACACCGGAUGUUGCUCCCACUGGCUUCCAGUUUUGUUUCACCAUUGUUUAAUGUGAUUUUAACUGACUCAUUUUGAUAACGGUAGGCUUAAUUUUGUGUAAAUAUUUAUAUUCUAUAAGUUUAAGAAUUGUAUUGUUUUUUAAACUCAGUGAGCCACUUUUUAAAUAAAAAGCAUACAUAAAUAGU